rnacentral:rRNA from 1 species
UACGAAGGGAGCUAGCGUUGUUCGGAAUCACUGGGCGUAAAGCGCACGUAGGCGGAUGUGUCAGUCAGGGGGUGAAAUCCCGGAGCUCAGCUUCGGAACUGCCUUUGAUACAGCACGUCUUGAGUCCGAUAGAGGUGGGUGGAAUUCCUAGUGUAGAGGUGAAAUUCGUAGAUAUUAGGAAGAACACCGGUGGCGAAGGCGGCCCACUGGAUCGGUACUGACGCUGAGGUGCGAAAGCGUGGGGAGCAAACAGG